UAAUACGUAGGGUGCGAGCGUUAAUCGGAAUUACUGGGCGUAAAGCGUGCGCAGGCGGUUUUGUAAGUCUGACGUGAAAUCCCCGGGCUUAACCUGGGAAUUGCGUUGGAGACUGCAAGGCUGGAGUCUGGCAGAGGGGGGUAGAAUUCCACGUGUAGCAGUGAAAUGCGUAGAGAUGUGGAGGAACACCGAUGGCGAAGGCAGCCCCCUGGGUCAAGACUGACGCUCAUGCACGAAAGCGUGGGGAGCAAACAGG
rnacentral:rRNA from 1 species